AAUGUUCCAUUAUAAUCACUGGCUUGAUUUAGGGACUUGUUAACUAGAUUAGAAUUCAUUGAUGACAGAAGACAUUCUCUGAGACAUUUUAUCUCCCUAAUUCCUAACUUAGUAUCUGGAAUGUUUUCAAAUAAGUGAACAAUUUAUUUCAGCAAAUAUUUAUCCAGUGCUUCCCAUGGGCCAGGCACCUGGUUAAGUACUCGGAAUCCAAGGGCAACCCAAAAUUAACAAGGCUCAGUUGCAAUCGGAGAUUACAGUCUAGUGAAGGAGACUGAUAUGAAUCAAAUGAUCACACAAUCAGAAAUACAACCUUGCCUAUUUUACAGGCAUAAUCAGGAUACUUUCAUUCCGAAGAUUGAAAUAAAUUUGCUCUGCCUUAGAAUUGCCCAAUGUCCCACAUGCGCUUCCCUGGAGGCUCAGAUGGUCACAUCUACUAAGCAUAGCCAAGGACAUCUACUUUGCCUGGGCAUGUGGCAGGUGAAUGGGCCAGGGAAGUGACGCCUCCAGAGCAGCCCUCACCAGUGCCUGCUGGAAUUGGUAGAUGAACUCUUCUUUCCGAGGGAGAAAAUAUUCAUUUAUACUGUUUUCUCAUGGGAGCCCAUCCCAGACACUCACAGAGGAUUCGCUUGAUAAUUUACCUUUAUUGGCUGCCUCAUCUUCCUUGAUUCUUUUCCCCUACCUCUUCCUCUAGUGUUUGCGGUCAUCUCUCAAGUAAAUUGCUUGUAUUCAAAAUCUUUGUUUCAGAGUCUGCUUUUGGGGGAGCCAAACUGAGGUAGGGUGUCAGUGACUUUCGUAAUUUUAUUUAUUAAUUUUUCUAGCUUG
ensembl:lncRNA